UGAUUUCCUUCUCUCUCCUCUCGGGAGCUUCUCUUUCCUCUCGAGUGAGCUCCGCUGGAUUUCUUCCGCCACGCCGCUGCCGCUGCUCUUAUUCCGUCGGGAGGUUCCGCCAGAUAUAGCAGGUUAAUCGGUCGACGGCGUCUGGUCUCUCUCCUUAUUCCUCUCUCUCUCAGCUCUCCGUCAACAGGAGAGGUAGAACGGGGACAAGAAUCGCAGAAAUCAGGGAAACGAGAGGGAGUGAGUGACAGAAGAGGAAAAAUGGGUGCAGAGGUGAUUCGAUUUAUGAACCAUCCAGAAAGGGGCCAACCUUGUCCUUGCCCCGUCGACGCGUAGGCGACAGAGGGAAAAACCUCAACUUGGGAACCUACUGUCGACGUCUGUGACAAAGCAAGGGAGUCGUGGGUUUGGGUCUCCAUUGGAAAGGAUGUCAGAACAGGGGUAUUCAUGAAGGUGUUCUUGGGUAAUUUGCGCUUUUGCGCGUCUGCUAGAGUCGAGAGCAGUAGAGGAUUUGUUGAGUUUCAGAGAGUCCAGUUAAAAAAAAAAAUUUGCAGUCUUCAAUUCAUAGAGGACAACUCGAAGAGUAUGCAUCACAGGCACUGCUAGGGUCGGAAUUCACUUACUUGGAAUUAGAUGAAAAAGGCUCUGAUACCAAUGAUGAAAUCUGAGCAAUGCAAUAGCAGCGGAAAUAGCAGUAGCGUCUGACCAGCGGCUUCAAUGCAGCAACGUCAAGAGACAGCACCUGUGUCAAAACAAAGAAGAAAAUGAAGAAGCAAGAGCAGAAUAGGUUUUUGGGGUUUGCUUUUGAGAGGCGCAGGUUAAUUAACAACGAUCAACCGUUAGAUGAAUAGAAGUUGGGUUUUAUAGAUCGCCUCUCAGGAUUUCCCCUAUUCCCAGCUACUUUUAUGGCAUGGAGAUUUACGGUGUUACAGAGAAAAGGAUAGGGCUCAGGGCCACUAUCCAACCGGGUGGUCGUCUGCACCAUGCUGUCAGUGACGGCAGUGUUGCUUCAGGUGUGGCAAGGAAAAGCUUCCAAAGUGUUUUCCUACUUGUAGAUACUUUGUCCCCUGCUAGAGGAGAUCAGAUGGCUCUUCGGUGGUCGAGAGGUGUUCAUCGCAAAGUCAAGAUUGGCAUUCCAUAGUUGCCGGAUGAUCUCCAAUGGCCAACUUUUUCAGCACUAUUCAUGCAGACGGCAGUGCUGGCUCCUCGCGUUGGCAUGCAUUAAAUCAUUCGGUGCUCAUUGAGGAUGUUAGAUGUUCAUAUCCCUCAUUUAGAAGCAAUGAAUCUAGAGGCGGAGCUGAGUGCCAAGGUUCAGGUCCCUGUGUUGUGUCACCCUACUUCUCUUAAGGCUGCAUUCGAGCAUUCGUAAACCAAUGGUCAUAUUUGUGUAGUUGUAUGGAAGUUUGAUGCUCCGAAUAAACAACUGAUUCUUGCAAACUGGAUCAGGGAGUCCGAGCUGCAAGUUUUGGCCAAUGUAUGCGUUGAAGGUGGAGGAUGUGACCAUAUUAGAUUAUAUGGUUUCUGUAGAAUGUCGUUACGUUUAGAGGCACCAUUUUGAACAGUCAACUGAUUGCAGUGCACAUCAUGUUGGUGUAUCUGUAAAGAAACAGAAAUCAGCUUCUAACUCUAGGUUUGGAAUUUGCUAGCUCAUCUGGCGUGAGAUGUAUGCUGAAUGCUAGUUUUUGGUUCCGGUUUGUUGAAUAAAAACUCUCUCUCUCUCUCUC